rnacentral:rRNA from 1 species
GACGAACGCUGGCGGCGUGCUUAACGCAUGCAAGUCGAGCGAUGAAGUUCCUUCGGGAAUGGAUUAGCGGCGGACGGGUGAGUAACACGUGGGUAACCUGCCUCAUAGAGGGGAAUAGCCUUUCGAAAGGAAGAUUAAUACCGCAUAAGAUUGUAGUAUCGCAUGAUACAGCAAUUAAAGGAGUAAUCCGCUAUGAGAUGGACCCGCGUCGCAUUAGCUAGUUGGUGAGGUAACGGCACACCAAGGCGACGAUGCGUAGCCGACCUGAGAGGGUGAUCUGCCACAUUGAGAUUGAGAGACGGCCCGGACUCCUACGGGAGGCAGCAGUGGGGAAUAUUGCACAAUGGGGGAAACCCUGCUGCAGCAACGCCGCGUGAGUGGUGACGGUCUUCGGAUUGUAAAACUCUGUCUUCAGGGACGAUAAUGACGGUACCUGAGGAGGAAGCCACGGCUAACUACGUGCCAGCCGCCGCGGUAAUAC